GGUUAGCCCUGAUGCAAGCGACAUCCUUUAACAGCGGGGUUCGCUGAUAAAGAUAUAGCGGACAGCAGGAAAUAGC
rnacentral:sRNA from 1 species